rnacentral:rRNA from 1 species
CAUGCCUAAGACAUGCAAGUCGAACGAAGUAGCCUAAUGAAGAUUGAGUGCUUGCACAAUUUCUGAUUUAGAUUCCUACUUAGUGGCAGACGGGUGAGUAACACGUGGGUAACCUACCUCGGAGACUGGGAUAACAGUUAGAAAUGACUGCUAAUACCGGAUGAUUCAUAGUUAGAUAACUAAUUAUGCUAAAAGGAGCAUUUGCUUCACUUUGAGAUGGGCUUGCGUUGUAUUAGUUAGUUGGUGGGGUAAUGGCCUACCAAGACAACGAUGCAUAUCCGAGCUGAGAGGCUGAUCGGACACACUGGGACUGAGACACGGCCCAGACUCCUACGGGAGACAGCAGUUAGGAAUAUUCGUCAAUGGGGGAAACCCUGAACGAGCAAUGCCGCGUGAGUGAUUAAGGUCUUAUAGAUUGUAAAACUCUGUUGUAAAGAAAGAAACCUUAAGAUAGGAAAUGAUCUUAAGCUGACGGUACUUUACCAGAAAGCCCCGGCUAACUACGUGCCAGCAGCCGC